rnacentral:lncRNA from 1 species
AAACAGAGUCAAAAUGACGAGGUUGUAAGCAACUAUAGGUAACCGUGUACCCUUCAACAAUAAUCAAGUACCGAUUGCAAGCUGUAAAGCACCAAUAUUUCAAAAUGUAAAACAAUUAAAAUGAAAAAUCUUAUCGCCGGAUUUAUAAAAAAGAAAAGAAAUGAAAAUUAAGUAUGACAGACAUCAAUCAAUGACAACUGACUCGUACAUUGCAAG